UGCUAGCUCUGGAUGCCAGCUCGUUCCGCGUCUCUUGGUAGACUAGUUGGAUCAUUUCUGUUAUCAUGGACUGUGCAUAUAAACGCAAACUGUACAAAAGUGACAUGGCCAAGAACAGCGCAAGCCGUUUCCACGCAGCGGAGCCGCCGUAUCUCGCCGUUCAAGAUAUGCGCACUCAAAAAAAAGAGGCUUUAUAUGAGAACGGAUCAAGCGUUCGAGAGUUGGGACAGGGAAAUGUAAGAAUGGAUUGUGUGUGGCGCUUCACCGCAUGUGGACUAGAGUAGAUCUAGGAACAUCAGACAAGAAGACACGUAUGCGAAACCCUGCGGAUAGCCCAUAUUUUUUAUGAGCACUGUAACUAUCCAAUCUUCACUCUCGACGGUGACAGAGAAAUGCCGGAUGCUAUGCUUACAGCAGACCAGCUCUGUCCUUUAGCUAUAUCAUACUAUUUCAGGGAACAAAGACUACUUGCAAAUGGUUAACACUGCUGCACGAAAAAAAAACUAAUCUAUUUUAUGAUUGCAAAAUAAACACCUAAAAAACAGAAAACAUUGCGUUCACGUGUUUCUUUUGUUGCG